UUCAGCACCGUCUGCUCAGCUUGAAGAAAAUGGGUUCAAGGGCCACGGCAUGCUGGCGCCUUUUACAGCUGGCUGGCAGAGCAAUGAUUUGCACCCUCUGAUCAUUGAGAGAUCUGAGGGUUCCUAUGUCUAUGACAUUAAUGGGAACAAGUAUCUGGACUCUCUUGCAGGAUUAUGGUGCACAGCUUUAGGUGGUAGCGAGCCUCGAUUAGUCAAAGCAGCAACUGAGGG